UACGUAGGGGGCAAGCGUUGUCCGGAUUUAUUGGGCGUAAAGAGCGUGUAGGCGGCCUGAAAGGUCAGCUGUGAAAACUCGAGGCUCAACCUCGAGACGUCGGUUGAAACCAUCUGGCUAGAGUCCGGAAGAGGAGUGUGGAAUUCCCGGUGUAGCGGUGAAAUGCGCAGAUAUCGGGAAGAACACCCGUGGCGAAGGCGGCGACCUGGACAAGCACUGACACUCAACUGCGAAAGCGUGGGGAGCAAACAGG
rnacentral:rRNA from 1 species